rnacentral:misc_RNA from 1 species
GAAAUGCGAUAAGUAAUGUGAAUUGCAGAAUUCAGUGAAUCAUCGAAUCUUUGAACGCACAUUGCGCCCGCCAGUAUUCUGGCGGGCAUGCCUGUCCGAGCGUCAUUUCAACCAUCAAGCCCCCGGGCUUGUGUUGGGGACCUGCGGCUGCCCGCAGGCCCUGAAAACCAGUGGCGGGCUCGCUGUCACACCGAGCGUAGUAGCAAUCACCUCGCUCAGGGCGUGCUGCGGGUUCCGGUCGUUAAACAGCCUUACAAAACCCAAGGUUGACCUCGGAUCAGGUAGGAAUACCCGCUGAAGUUAAGC